rnacentral:rRNA from 1 species
AGCGAACGCUGGCGGCAGGCCUAACACAUGCAAGUCGAACGGAGUGGCGGACGGGUGAGUAACACGAGGGAACGUGCCCUUUGGUUCGGAACAACUCAGGGCAACUUGAGCUAAUACCGGAUGCCAUUGGAGCGGCCCGCGUCGGAUUAGCUAGUUGGUUAGGUAAAGGCUCACCAAGGCGACGAGCAGUAGCUGGUAUGGGAGGAUGGUCAGGCACAUUGGGACUGAGACACGGCCCAAACUCCUGCGGGAGGCAGCAGGGGGGAAUCUUGCGCAAUGGGCGAAAGCCGGAGGCAGUCAUGCCGCGUGAAUGAUGAAGGUCUUAGGAUUGUAAAAUUCUGUCGCCGGGGACGCGGUACCCGGAGAAGAAGCCCCGGCUAACUUCGUGCCAGCAGCCGCGGUAAUUC